CCUACGGGGGGCAGCAGUAAGGAAUAUUGGACAAUGGAGGAAACUCUGAUCCAGCCAUGCCGCGUGAGUGAUGAAGGCCUUCGGGUUGUAAAGCUCUUUUAGGUGUGACGAUGAUGACGGUAACACCAGAAAAAGCCCCGGCUAACUUCGUGCCAGCAGCCGCGGUAAUACGAAGGGGGCGAGCGUUGUUCGGAAUCACUGGGCUUAAAGCGUGCGUAGGCGGGCAGGGAAGUCAGAAGUGAAAGCCCCGGGCUUAACCCGGGAACUGCUUUUGAAACUCCCUGUCUAGAAACCGGAAGAGGUUAGCGGAAUAUCCAGUGUAGAGGUGAAAUUCGCAGAUAUUGGAUGGAACACCAGUGGCGAAGGCGGCUAACUGGUCCGGUAUUGACGCUGAGGCACGAAAGCAUGGGGAGCAAACAGGAUUAGAUACCCUUGUAGUC
rnacentral:rRNA from 1 species